UUAUGUGGAACUAAUUUCAUUGUCGUGCAAGCUAAACAAACGAGCGCACUGAAUCGUUCAGGUGAUAAAGGGGUUUAAAGUCAUCGGAUCUUACACAAACACCCUGGGCACUGAGCGAAGUGUACUCUUGCUGCAUGCCAUACAUUUUUAACACAAACCCUGAGAGCGGCUCCGUUUCUCCCAGUGGUUUACUAUUUACUACUGCCCUUGCACAGUCGUUAAAAAUCGCAGUCCCCUCUCCACGUGGUUUGUUAUCAGCCAAGUGGACAUUGCAGACAUCUGAAAUGCCUGAUGAGGUGCAGUGUGCCGAAGGACCCCGAUGACAAGGAAACAGGGUGUUUUGCACCAGAGCCAGGGUCUUGUAAAGACUGGAGUGGAUCAAACGUCUGUGUGACGCAAGUCCUUCGAGUGAUUACUGGAGACACUGACCUCUGCUCGUUGGGCCAGGAGAGGGGGCACCACGUGAUUGCUGAAUGAGGCUUUCGACAUCCCUGUGGAGGUUUUGGAUGUGUUUCUCUUCACUAUCAAUGUGUCACUGCGCUGUGUUCAUAUAGAUCAGUCUGUGGCUUUAUGUGUACCGGAGAAAGUACACACUUUGACCACACAGGACAGCGAUGGCCAUCUUCACCUACAGAAUCUCAAAAGGCGUGAAUGUAAAUAUUCAUCAUGUGCUGAAGCUUUUUCUCUUGUUUUAUAGUAAGGCUGUCUGGCAGCAAUCCCAGAACGUCCUGCUAUCUCUCAUUCAGUACCACAACAUGCCAGUGGACUUCUCCCCUUCUUCCAGGGGGCCAGUGCCCUGCCCAUAGACUUGCAUUCCCAAUCCUCCUGGAAUCUGCGCUUUAGGAAGCGAAUGCUUUCUGAUCUGGUCUGUAAGAGAACCCUUUGAACUGUCUGUCAGUAACUCUUGGAAAAAUAUUCCAUCUAGAAUUAAAGGGAAUAAGAAACAGAAAUGUUUCAACUGCCGUGCAAAACAAGGAACAGAAUCUGUUGCUGAGUUGAGACUGCAAAUGCAUGUUAGUAUGCCACUUACAUGUUACCUGAAACUCUGUGUAUACACUGUGCCUCGGGUUUGACUCAAGAAACUUAAAUCUUGGGGAGUACAUAGUUUUUCGUUUAUCUGAUGCCGGUUAAUUAACAAAUUGCUUAGUACGGCAUUUUACCCUUUUAAGUGCUUUGCUUUAGACUAGCCCAUAAAAUACAUUCUGAUUAAGAAGGUUGGGGUUGAAAAAUAAAACAGACUAUUAAAUUAUGAAUAAAGUUUGCGAACAGGAGUCAGUAUUAUCUUUCUCUGAAUAAAGCCUAAUGGCAUCUGGACUGUGCUUCCCAGAACUGGGAAGAAGAACAGCUGGGAAGUGGGUGUAUGGAAAUCUCCCUUCUUCUCCAACUGCUGAUAAGGAGAAAUACCAGAACCAAACCGGACCAGCUUCACGGAUUGUGCAGGGCUUAGCUACUUGUAUUCAGCGUUUCACACUUCUGGCAUGUCAUUUUAUGUCAAAAGUGCCAGAUUAGUUGUGAAACAUAACAGAAAGCCACAUGGCUUCCUCUUCAGAGGGGCUGUUGAGCAGCGCUCCAGUCAGUGUGGUAAAGGCAUCGGAGGGGUCCGCUGGUGUGGACUGGUGUGGGUGGUGAGAUGUCCCCAGCUGGAUGUGUGAUAGCUGAAAACUGCCUCACCCGACAAAUCACCCUCUUGCGGAUCAGAACGAGCCACAUAAUCUGCAAGCUGCACGUCUUUGUCGAAAACAACUUGCAAAGUCAUACUGCAUUUGCAGAAUCCUGUGUUUCCCAGCAUUUCUCUUUGAUUUGCAGUGACGUGCUGGGGCAUGCUAGACAGUCCGUUUAUUGGGUGAGAAGGCAGCUAGGCUUAGGUGCCUCAGUAUGGCCCAGUGAAAGUCAUUUUUUGGUUUAAUUACUGAAGGAAGUGGGGUGAGUAAUUGCCCAGACAUUUUUGCAAACGAGAGAAUUCUGCACUGGUUUAGCUUCAACGUGAUCAAUAAAUAAUUGCUUCCCUUAAGAUAUUGUUGGCCGUUCAUAAUAGAUCACCAAUUAAUAAUGCACAGAUACUGGAGGGAGUUAAAAUGCAUAAAACGCUGUUAUUAUUCAUUGCUAGUUCUGUAUUAAUCAGUGUAGGGUUAAUUUGUAACCAUGGAAAUAGCUCAGUCAAUGGGUUCAAUCAGGCUAAGUGAUAUCAAUCUCCGUUUAAAUUAAAACCCAUGCAGUCUGCAAGACCAGGAUUAGGGAACACUGUGUUUUUGCCAUCAAGUCUUCAUGGAGGGAUCUACGUGUCUAGAACUCAACAGAUAGUCUAUUUGGAGGGUGAGGGUUUGGGCUCCAACAGGAGUGUAAGAUAUAAUCAGUAGCCAUAUCA